CUCCAGACUCCUACGGGAGGCAGCAGUGGGGGAUAUUGGACAAUGGGGGGAACCCUGAUCCAGCGACGCCGCGUGAGUGAAGAAGUAUUUCGGUAUGUAAAGCUCUGUCAGCAGGGAGGAAAGAAAUGACGGUACCUGACCAAGAAGCCCCGGCUAACUACGUGCCAGCAGCCGCGGUAAUACGUAGGGGGCAAGCGUUAUCCGGAUUUACUGGGUGUAAAGGGAGCGUAGACGGCAAGGCAAGCCAGAAGUGAAAGGGCAGGGCUCAACCCUGUACAUGCUUUUGGAACUGUGGUGCUAGAGUGCAGGAGAGGUAAGUGGAAUUCCUAGUGUAGCGGUGAAAUGCGUAGAUAUUAGGAGGAGCACCAGUGGCGAAGGCGGCUUACUGGACUGUAACUGACGUUGAGGCUCGAAAGCGUGGGGAGCAAACAGGAUUAGAUACCCCAGUAAC
rnacentral:rRNA from 1 species